GUGAGUAAAUCUUCUUCCGAACCUAUGGAUAUAGGUUUCAUUAAAGGCCCCCUUUCCUCCGAGGAGAAGAUCAGGCGUAGGGCUAACAACUUAUGUUUAUAUUGUGCCUGCGACAGUCACACUGUUAGAGAUUGCCCAUCCUUGCAGAAACAGAACAAGGUGGGACUCCCAUCGGGUCAACGCUACCGCGAUCAUUGAUUCGGGAGCAACAGCUUCCUAUAUUGAUAGUGUAUUUACUCAAAAAAAUAAAAUACCUGUAGUCAAAAAGAA